GACGAACCGAGCGAACGUUAUUCGGAAUCACUGGGCUUAAAGGGCGCGUAGGCGGGCCGCCAAGUCAGGGGUGAAAGCCCCCAGCUCAACUGGGGAAGUGCCUUUGAUACUGGCGGUCUCGAGGGGGGUAGGGGCGUGCGGAACUUCCGGUGGAGCGGUGAAAUGCGUAGAUAUCGGAAGGAACACCGGUGGCGAAAGCGGCGCGCUGGAUCCCUUCUGACGCUGAGGCGCGAAAGCCAGGGGAGCGAACGGG
rnacentral:rRNA from 1 species